GGUAACCUUUUAGGAGCCAGCCGCCGAAGGUGGGACAGAUGAUUGGGGUGAAGUCGUAACAAGGUAGCCGUACCGGAAGGUGCGGCUGGAUCACCUCCUUUCUAAGGAA
rnacentral:rRNA from 1 species